AGCAUUGAGCGCUCGAAUGAAAUCACUUAAUACAAGGAAUUGCAAAAUUCUUUGCUUUUUAUGCACAAAUAUUGCAAGGACACAAGAUAUUCCUUGUAUGUGAAUAAAUACAAGGAGCUAAAUCCUUGCUUCUCGUGUUGAUGUCAAGAAGAAAAGUGAAAAGCAGAAGCUUCCUCUCACACACUCCAAAGACCAGAUCCACUGAGGGCUCUCGAUAAUCUCUCAGAAUCUGAGAGCAAACCUUUUCGAAAAUCACCAAUUCUCUGUCUACCUUUCUUCAUCUUAUCCAUCCCUGAUGAAGUUCACAUGAUGGUUCGUGUAUUCAGGAAGAUGAAGGCAAGGAUUUUAGAAAAGGUGUGCUUUUCUGUUGAUUUUAUUGUCUGGGCGGGUUCAUUUCAAUAUCCACAAACUGGUUUUAGGGUUCUGGUGCUAACUCAUUUUUUGUCUUUCUAUGGCAUAACAUACAUUCCUUUUGUUCCCAAUUCAUUCUAUUGUAUUUUUUUUUUUUUGACUAAAAGAUGCUGGACUUUCAUUGAUAAUUAGGCAGCAUGAUUAAGAUCAUACUGAAUUACAUCAUGUAAGCAUUCUGGAGGUUGGUGAAUCCACACCUCAUGCUGAUUUGCCUCAAAAGCUAAGGCAGCAAGUCUGUGCGCUGCAUUAUUACAAACUCUCGAGGCAUGCUAGAUUUGCAAACCCGAAAUGCUAGCCAUUAAGACUACAAUAUCAUCUAACAGAGCUCCAUGCUCAUCCAGUUCAUGAUCUGCACUUAGAAUCUGUUGUACUGCUUCUAGACAGUCACUCUCAAUGGUGACAUUCUGCAGUUGCAUAGAUUUAGCCAAGUCCAAACCCUGUCGGAUAGCACAUAACUCUGCAUGUUUCGCUGAUCCAAUGUGUUGCAUAGUGUGUGCGAAUGCAGCAACAAAGUGCCCUUGUGAGUUUCAGAGUAUACCUCCUACGCCUCCCCUUGUCAUUUCAGGCAUAAACGCCCCAUCAACAUUCAGCUUUGAUCUGUCCCCGAGCUCUGGUUUCCAGUGCCGCAUUGCUUCUUUGACAGUUCCUUUUGUUUCACUGCGAGCUAAUUGGAACUCUUCCAACAAGGCCAUGGCAUGUAACAAAAUACUUGGGGCAGUCUGAGAAAUGUUCUCCCAAAGUCUACUAUUUCGAUUCUUCCAUAAACCCCACAGAAUCAUCAUCAGUUUCUCAAACACUUCCAUCUUAAGUGUCAAGGCACACUCAAGAAGCCACUCUUUGAAAUCAAUAGAAGGCAAUAAAGUAUGCUGAAGAUGGAAAGGAGGAGCAGACAAUAAUUCAACCGCAAGCGGACAUUUACAAAAAAGAUGUGAUGUAUCUUCUAACCUGUGAGUGCAUAGCAAGCAAUUCACUUCACCACUAUACCCUUUAGUAAGCAAGCGCUCCCUAGCAGGCAGUAAAUUAUUUGCAGCCCUCCACACACAAGUUUGGACUUUGCCAGGGACCUUUGCGUUCCAUAUUCCUUUCCAUAAAGCUUGAAAGGGGUCACCAUCUGAAGUGGCAGCUAACAAUGGGAAAAUAACCCAAUCCUGAUCACUUUGAACUUACUAGAAACAACUGCAUAAGAACAAACUUUAAUCAAUCUCAACACUUGUAAUUUAUCAGGAAAAAUAAUAUUAUGAUAGGAGGGAUAAUAUUGCUGUGUUGGUACCUUUAGGUGUCCUUACAAGAUUAGAGAAAUUUUGUUUUUCGCUUUGUUGAUAUGAAUUAGAGUUUACAUAAUGUCUUUGUUUUAUUUAUUGUUAUUUUUUAUUUUUACGAAUUUCUCAGGCUUGCAAUCCACAAUUGAGUUAAAGAUCAUUCAGCUACCUCAUCACUGAUCUUCAGUUGCUUUGUUUUGAAAGGUAUUCGAUAUCUUUUUUACAUUUGUUUAUGCCAAACUCAUAUCUUCAUAUGUGCUUUAUUGUCCGACACUUACAGGAAAGACCAAAGGUUUUUUUUUACCCAUUAAGACCAGUACAAUCCUCAAAUAAUUUAUGUGAAGUCAUUAAGUUGAGCUGGAUCAAUAUGUCACUAUGGAUGGUCUGAUAUUGAUGAAGAGCUUGAUAAAAGGGAAUUGAGGAUUUGCGGGUGAUAUUUAUACUAAAUGAGGUUCAUGCUAACUAGAUUUUAGAAGAUCUGUUGUGAGGUGUUCUUUGUGGUGGACUUGACUGAUCCAGUUGUUGUUGCAUAUGCGGAUUCCAAAAUGUCUACUGCUUACUCUCAGUUCAAGACUCGACUGAAGGAGGAGUGGAUGACAACAUACCCAUAAAGCCAGUGCACGACCAUAUGCACAACAUGCUUUGGUGGCCUCUAAGGAGAAGAGGGAGGCAGAGAGGAAUGCCCUUAUAAAGGAGUUGUACCAAUACGUAUCUGAGGGUACUCCACAUGAUUCUAUCAAACUGACUUUGGAAGCUAAGUUCCCAAUAUAGUAUGAAGGAACAAAAUGGACACUUGAAGGCUCAAGUGGAAAGUUUGUUGAGGCAAUAUCCUAGGCAAAUGAGUGAAGAUGACUUCCUCCACCCCAACAGCAGCUUCUAAGACUUGCUUGAGAAUUUUGGGUGAGCAUUUGCUAGGCUUUUGGUCUGAUAUCCCUUUUUGUGCAGUAAUAGCUUUUUACCUUGAUUAUCCUACUAUCCAGCAAUACUCAAGAAAAUCCGUUGUCCAUUUUGAGAAUACAGAUUGACACAUUACUGGCAUGUACAUUGAAACUUUCGGUGGAUUUACUUGAGUUUUGACAUUCUGCCUCACUCGAACAGAUGGGACAUCUAAAUUAAUCUUAUUAUCGAUUAGUGGCUGUGAAGCUUUAACUUUUGAUGUACAAAUGAACAAGUUGAUUAUAUAUGAAGCACAUAUUUUUAUCUAAACUUGUUAUAGAUUAGUGUUAGUGGCGUGGC